AACGAACGCUGGCGGCAGGCCUAACACAUGCAAGUCGAACGCCCCGCAAGGGGAGUGGCAGACGGGUGAGUAACGCGUGGGAACCUACCUAGUGGUACGGAACAGCUCGGGGAAACUUGAGCUAAUACCGUAUACGCCCUCAGGGGGAAAGAUUUAUCGCCAUUAGAUGGGCCCGCGUCGGAUUAGCUUGUUGGUGAGGUAAUGGCUCACCAAGGCGACGAUCCGUAGCUGGUCUGAGAGGAUGAUCAGCCACACUGGGACUGAGACACGGCCCAGACUCCUACGGGAGGCAGCAGUGAGGAAUAUUGGACAAUGGGCGCAAGCCUGAUCCAGCCAUGCCGCGUGAGUGAAGAAGGCCUUAGGGUUGUAAAGCUCUUUCGACGGGGAAGAUAAUGACGGUACCCGUAGAAGAAGCCCCGGCUAACUUCGUGCCAGCCGCCGCCGUAA
rnacentral:rRNA from 1 species